rnacentral:rRNA from 1 species
AUUGAACGCUGGCGGCAGGCCUAACACAUGCCAGUCGAACGGUAACAGGAAGCAGCUUGCUGCUUUGCUGACGAGUGGCGGCCGGGUGAGUAAUGUCUGGGAAACUGCCCGAUGGAGGGGGAUAACUACUGGAAACGGUAGCUAAUACCGCAUAACGUCGCAAGACCAAAGAGGGGGACCUUAGGGCCUCUUGCCAUCGGAUGUGCCCAGAUGGGAUUAGCUAGUAGGUGGGGUAACGGCUCACCUAGGCGACGAUCCCUAGCUGGUCUGAGAGGAUGACCAGCCACACUGGAACUGAGACACGGUCCAGACUCCUACGGGAGGCAGCAGUGGGGAAUAUUGCACAAUGGGCGCAAGCCUGAUGCAGCCAUGCCGCGUGUAUGAAGAAGGCCUUCGGGUUGUAAAGUACUUUCAGCGGGGAGGAAGGGAGUAAAGUUAAUACCUUUGCUCAUUGACGUUACCCGCAGAAGAAGCACCGGCUAACUCCGUG